ACCUACAAAGCCCUAAACGGUUCUGGUCCUGCCUAUCUAUCCGAACGUAUCUCCUCCUAUGAGCCCGUUAGAACCUUAAGAUCUUCCAGGGAGGCCCUGCUCUCGAUCCCACCCGCCUCGCAGGCGCGGCGGGUGGGGACGAGGAACAGGGCCUUCUCGGUGGUGGCUCCUCGGCUGUGGAACUCCCUCCCCAGCGAUAUCCGGCAAACCCCAUCCCUCCUGGGAUUUAGAAGAAAACUAAAAACUUGGCUCUGCGCCCAGGCAUUCAGCGAAUAAGCUCAUUGGCUGUUGUAAUUGGGUCGCAAAUCUGUAAUUGUAGCAGUAGUGAAUGACUGAGGAUGGUGCAAUAUCGCUGCUUUGCAGCGUUUUAAUUUUUGUAUACUUUUUAUCAUGUUUUUAUCAUGUUUUUAUCAUGUUUUAAUUGUUUUGUUUUUAUAGUAUAUUUGUUGCUGGCCCUCGUGGCAGAAUGUAAGCCGCUCUGAGUCCCCUCGGGGAGAAGGGCGGGGUAUAAAUGCAUGUAAUAAAUAAAUAAUAAUAAAUUUAUCAUGUUGGAAACCACCCUGAGUCCCCUGAGGAGAUAGGGCGGUAUAUAAAUAAAAUGUUAUAUUAUUAUAUACUGUAUGUAUCAUUGAGCAUCCAAGUCAAUGUUUUAAGAAGGGAAAGGGUAUGCUAAAGUAAACUGACUGAGAAUGUGGAGAAUUUACCUAGCUCUGUGAAUCUGAGCAACCUCACCCGAGCCCCACCAAGCACCAUCUAAUUGCAAAGGUUAAAACACAUAAAGGCAAAUACAAUCUGCUUUCCUAUGGGUUUAGGGAGAAAGAACACGUUUCAGCAUUCCAACUAUGGUUCCCUUGGCAACAUACAUAACAACAACCCAAUAAAACUCUUAGUUCUUGUUUGUUUAACCCUCCAGGACAUUGUCUGAAUUGAAUGCUUCCCUAAGGAAAUAUUUCAGGGAGGCAGCUAUACUCUUAAAACUCAUCUGUUUCAAAGAGGCAAUUUUCUUUGUUUCAAAUUUUGGCUUUUAAAAGUAGCUCCAAAUUGAAGAGCCUUGUGACCGAUUAAUGCAGAAAUUUAAAAUUAUUUAAUGCUGAAGCAGUGUGAGUAGGCAAAUCUGAGCUAGUAAAAGGAUGCCUUUCUUGCUCACUCUGUACAUCUACAGACUAGAAUUUUAUUUCCACUUUCAUUCUUGGGCACUGAAGCAGUCACCAAGAUCAUGGGAAAUGCCCAUAGGAAAGGCAUGCUCUUUAUUCAACAGCAAAUUGAAUAUAACCAAGCAGACCACACAAUGCUAGGCCAAAGAGAGGCUCUCUCCUGGCUGACAGAGUGGCACCUGUGACUAACAGGCAUGAAGAUGGUAUGAAAUGCCACACACAAAGAGAUUACAAGCAGUGGAAUGCAGAUUAGUCCUAGAAAAACUCCAACAAAGCAUUAAAAUUAGAGAUGACUCCAAUCACACCACAAACAUUCAUUUGAUUUCCAUGGACUUCAAUCUUCUUUUAUUUCAAACCAACCAUAACACAGGAAUUACAACUGCAUUACAACUGCAUCACUGAGGAAAAGAUGAAGAUGUUACAUUUCUUUAAGGGCGCUUCCACACAGCAGAAGUAAAGUUUGUGGAUCUUAUUAAAGUCAGCAUUUGGAUGGUAUCAUUUUGAAAAACUGCAGUCAGCUUUCAUCCAUAGAACUAUCAUCAGCUGCUUGCCUGUCAAAUCAAAUAUCAGAAUCCCAUUAAAAUCCUUCCAAGCAGAUGCAAAACUCACAGUAAAAUAUAUGAUAUACAAAGUGCAUCAACUUCCAGUGUUGGGACUUUUAUCUACAGAUUUCAAAAUUUGUAGACUGAUAUAAAAGUAAUGACAGCAGUAAUAUUUCCAACCAUCUGCAUCAGGGAUGGAGAAAUCAACCAGUUUCAUUUGCUAUGAUUGUUUUCAACCAAAUGUUCUUUGCCUGUAUAAGAAGAAAUUUACUAAUUUUGGUCAAUUCUCCAUUCAGAGAAAAAAAUCCCACACAUAUUGUUCAAAUUCAGAAGUUAUAGCUAUUCCCAUCAUAGAGCAGAUAUGUUGUACCUAUCUAUCAUACAGAUGUUAAAGAUAAAGGGCAUUUCAGAUAAGGAGAUGGUAAAAUUAAUGGAGAAUGCAAUGGGUAUUUGACUAAGGUCAAAAUAUGGAGUGCCUAAAAAAUAGCACCUGAAAAAUUCCCAUAAUUUUUUCUCAACACCACAAAAGCUGUGCACAUUGUGAACUAUAUAACUUCUCAAGAAAAUAAAUUUUAUGUUUUUUUUAACCAUGUGUGAACUUGGGAAAAUUGCAGAAACUAUUAACAACAACAAGAAGAAAGACACAACUGCUUGAAUUUUUACAUUAUGUUUUCUUGUUGGAAUGUUUAUACUUGAUAUCAUAAAAUUAUACUGUUGGAAGAGACCAUAAAGGCUAUCCAGUCCAACCCCCUGCCAUGCAGGAACACAUAAUCAGACUUUCCAAACAGAUAGUCAUCCGGUCUCUAUUUAAAACUCUUCAAAGAAGGAGACUCCACCAC